AGUGAACGCUGGCGGUAGGCCUAACACAUGCAAGUCGAACGGCAGCACAGUAAGAUCUUGCUCUUACGGGUGGCGAGUGGCGGACGGGUGAGGAAUACAUCGGAAUCUACUUUUUCGUGGGGGAUAACGUAGGGAAACUUACGCUAAUACCGCAUACGACCUACGGGUGAAAGCAGUGGAUCUUCGGACCUUUCGCGAUUGAAUGAGCCGAUGUCGGAUUAGCUAGUUGGCGGGGUAAAGGCCCACCAAGGCGACGAUCCGUAGCUGGUCUGAGAGGAUGAUCAGCCACACUGGAACUGAGACACGGUCCAGACUCCUACGGGAGGCAGCAGUGGGGAAUAUUGGACAGUGGGCGCAAGCCUGAUCCAGCCAUACCGCGUGGGUGAAGAAGGCCUUCGGGUUGUAAAGCCCUUUUGUUGGGAAAGAAAAGCAGCAGGUUAAUACCCCGAUGUUCUGACGGUACCCAAAGAAUAAGCACCGGCUAACUUCGUG
rnacentral:rRNA from 1 species